rnacentral:rRNA from 1 species
GGCGGACGGGUGAGUAAUACUUAGGAAUCUGCCCAUUAGUGGGGGACAACUAGAAGAAAUUCUAGCUAAUACCGCAUACGCCCUACGGGGGAAAGCGGGGGAUCUUCGGACCUCGCGCUAAUGGAUGAGCCUAAGUCGGAUUAGCUUGUUGGUGAGGUAAAGGCUCACCAAGGCGACGAUCCGUAGCUGGCCUGAGAGGACGACCAGCCACACUGGGACUGAGACACGGCCCAG